AGCGAACGCUGGCGGCAGGCUUAACACAUGCAAGUCGAACGCCCCGCAAGGGGAGUGGCAGACGGGUGAGUAACACGUGGGAACGUACCCUUUGGUUCGGAAUAACUUGGGGAAACUCAAGCUAAUACCGGAUAAGCCCUUAUGGGGAAAGGUUUACUGCCGAAGGAUCGGCCCGCGUCUGAUUAGCUAGUUGGUGAGGUAACGGCUCACCAAGGCGACGAUCAGUAGCUGGUCUGAGAGGAUGAUCAGCCACACUGGGACUGAGACACGGCCCAGACUCCUACGGGAGGCAGCAGUGGGGAAUAUUGGACAAUGGGGGCAACCCUGAUCCAGCCAUGCCGCGUGAGUGAUGAAGGCCUUAGGGUUGUAAAGCUCUUUUACCCGGGACGAUAAUGACUGUACCGGGAGAAUAAGCCCCGGCUAACUUCGUGCCAGCAGCCGCCGCAG
rnacentral:rRNA from 1 species